rnacentral:rRNA from 1 species
AUUGAACGCUGGCGGCAGGCUUAACCCAUGCAAGUCGAGCGAGCGGCGGACGGGUGAGUAAUGUCUGGGAAACUGCCUGAUGGAGGGGGAUAACUACUGGAAACGGUAGCUAAUACCGCCUACCAUCAGCUGUGCCCAUAGUGGAUUAGCUAGUUGGUGAGGUAACGGCUUACCAAGGCGACGAUCCCUAGCUGGUCUGAGAGGAUGAUCAGCCACACUGGGACUGAGACACGGCCCAGACUCCUACGGGAGGCAGCAGUGGGGAAUAUGGCACAAUGGGCGCAAGCCUGAUGCAGCCAUGCCGCGUGUAUGAAGAAGGCCUUCGGGUUGUAAAGUACUUUCAGUAGGGAGGCGUUACCGAAAGAAGAAGCACCGGCUAACUCCGUGCCAGCAGCCGCGGUAAUAC